UGGCAAUGAUUAGGAUUAUUUGUGCUUCUGAUGCUUUAUUGUAAAUGAAGUAAAAAGAUUAAUGUUUGAAUUUUUUGAUAUGAGCCA